AAGUCGUAACAAGGUUUCCGUAGGUGAACCUGCGGAAGGAUCAUUAACACGUAUCCACGUAUCAACCCCUGUGCACAUGUACGUGUCUGGUUUGUUGAGUGAUAGUAAGUGAGGAUGGAGCCUUCUCACGGAGGUUCUCCAAUCUAUACUAUCUAGCGCUGCGAGCGCGAGCUCGGUGAAUUUCAGGCAUUUUUAACCAUACCAUUUACCCCAAUGACUAAUUAGAAUAAGAGUGUGGUUCGCCCACGUUCUUUGUUUCGACCUACGAAAUGUAACAACUCUUAGCAACGGAUAUCUUGGUUCUC
rnacentral:misc_RNA from 1 species